UGUACGAGAAUGCACGUUCAAUCACAGCUAUCAAAUGUGGAAUAUUCUGCAGCAAGAUUUAUGGUCCAACUAGACAACGAAGCCAUAAAUAAGUCUGAUUGUCCAGUUUAUUAAUGGGGACUUCCAACUAAAAAGUGGCUGUUGGCAAACAGCAUUUUUCCCAAAGGAUCAUAUAAGUCAGAACAUUGAAACAGGUUUGACAAAAGCAUUGGUUGCUUGGGGAAUAGUAGAAAGAUGUCUAAUCUGUAAAACAACAGACAACGUGACGAACAUGGUGAAAGUUGCAUCCCUUAACAAAUGGACCAGGCUUCAGUGCUUUGGGCACAGACUGCAUCUUACAGUUGGUCAUUGUAUACAGAAAAAGGAGAAAAUCUAUAAGGUCACACUUCCAAGAGGUUAUAAGUGUGCUUAAGAUGAAUACCUGCCUUGCAAAUCAAACCUGAUUGAGUGAUUCAGAGGAAGAGAGUGAUGCCCAAGGAUUAAAAGAAAAAUGACAGGCAAAGCAACACGCCAUGGAGCUAAAAGGAAGCCCCAAGUACAAAUGUAAAAAAGAUUAAAAUAUCUGUUCAUGUGAAGACAGGAUUGUCUGCAAUGGAGGACAGUGAUGUUGGUCAUAAAUGUGAGAACAGGGGAGGACACACCAAGGUUGUGUAUAACAGAGAUGAGGGUUAUGAGGCCAUAAGAGAAAUGGAUGA